AUUGAACGCUGGCGGCAGGCCUAACACAUGCAAGUCGAGCGGAUGAAGGGAGCUUGCUCCUGGAUUCAGCGGCGGACGGGUGAGUAAUGCCUAGGAAUCUGCCUGGUAGUGGGGGAUAACGUCCGGAAACGGGCGCUAAUACCGCAUACGUCCUGAGGGAGAAAGUGGGGGAUCUUCGGACCUCACGCUAUCACAUGAGCCUAGGUCGGAUUAGCUAUUUGGUGGGGUAAAGGCCUACCAAGGCGACGAUCCGUAACUGGUCUGAGAGGAUGAUCAGUCACACUGGAACUGAGACACGGUCCAGACUCCUACGGGAGGCAGCAGUGGGGAAUAUUGAACAAUGGGCGGAAGCCUGAUCCAGCCAUGACGCGUGUAUGAAGAAGGUCUUCGGAUUGUAAAGCACUUUAAGUUGGGAGGAAGGGAAGUAAGUUAAUACCUUGCUGUAUUGACGUUACCAGCAGAAUAAGCACCGGCUAACUUCGUG
rnacentral:rRNA from 1 species